UAGAGUUUGAUCCUGGCUCAGGACGAACGCUGGCGGCGUGCUUAACACAUGCAAGUCGAACGGAAAGGCCCUUUCGGGGGUACUCGAGUGGCGAACGGGUGAGUAACACGUGGGUGAUCUGCCCUGCACUUUGGGAUAAGCCUGGGAAACUGGGUCUAAUACCGAAUACACCCUGCUGGUCGCAUGGCCUGGUAGGGGAAAGCUUUUGCGGUGUGGGAUGGGCCCGCGGCCUAUCAGCUUGUUGGUGGGGUGAUGGCCUACCAAGGCGACGACGGGUAGCCGGCCUGAGAGGGUGACCGGCCACACUGGGACUGAGAUACGGCCCAGACUCCUACGGGAGGCAGCAGUGGGGAAUAUUGCACAAUGGGCGCAAGCCUGAUGCAGCGACGCCGCGUGAGGGAUGACGGCCUUCGGGUUGUAAACCUCUUUCAGCACAGACGAAGCGCAAGUGACGGUAUGUGCAGAAGAAGGACCGGCCAACUACGUGCCAGCAGCCGCGGUAAUACGUAGGGUCCGAGCGUUGUCCGGAAUUACUGGGCGUAAAGAGCUCGUAGGUGGUUUGUCGCGUUGUUCGUGAAAACUCACAGCUUAACUGUGGGCGUGCGGGCGAUACGGGCAGACUAGAGUACUGCAGGGGAGACUGGAAUUCCUGGUGUAGCGGUGGAAUGCGCAGAUAUCAGGAGGAACACCGGUGGCGAAGGCGGGUCUCUGGGCAGUAACUGACGCUGAGGAGCGAAAGCGUGGGGAGCGAACAGGAUUAGAUACCCUGGUAGUCCACGCCGUAAACGGUGGGUACUAGGUGUGGGUUUCCUUCCUUGGGAUCCGUGCCGUAGCUAACGCAUUAAGUACCCCGCCUGGGGAGUACGGCCGCAAGGCUAAAACUCAAAGGAAUUGACGGGGGCCCGCACAAGCGGCGGAGCAUGUGGAUUAAUUCGAUGCAACGCGAAGAACCUUACCUGGGUUUGACAUGCACAGGACGCCGGCAGAGAUGUCGGUUCCCUUGUGGCCUGUGUGCAGGUGGUGCAUGGCUGUCGUCAGCUCGUGUCGUGAGAUGUUGGGUUAAGUCCCGCAACGAGCGCAACCCUUGUCUCAUGUUGCCAGCACGUUAUGGUGGGGACUCGUGAGAGACUGCCGGGGUCAACUCGGAGGAAGGUGGGGAUGACGUCAAGUCAUCAUGCCCCUUAUGUCCAGGGCUUCACACAUGCUACAAUGGCCGGUACAAAGGGCUGCGAUGCCGUGAGGUGGAGCGAAUCCUUUCAAAGCCGGUCUCAGUUCGGAUCGGGGUCUGCAACUCGACCCCGUGAAGUCGGAGUCGCUAGUAAUCGCAGAUCAGCAACGCUGCGGUGAAUACGUUCCCGGGCCUUGUACACACCGCCCGUCACGUCAUGAAAGUCGGUAACACCCGAAGCCGGUGGCCUAACCCUUGUGGAGGGAGCCGUCGAAGGUGGGAUCGGCGAUUGGGACGAAGUCGUAACAAGGUAGCCGUA
rnacentral:rRNA from 1 species